AGAGUUUGAUCAUGGCUCAGAACGAACGCUGGCGGCAGGCUUAACACAUGCAAGUCGAACGGUUGUAGCAAUACAGCAGUGGCGCACGGGUGAGUAACGCGUGGGAACAUACCUUAGAGUCGGGAAUAACAGCGGGAAACUGCUGCUAAUACUCGAUAUUCUCUCCGGAGGAAAGAUUUAUCGCUCUAAGAUUGGCCCGC
rnacentral:rRNA from 1 species